rnacentral:SRP_RNA from 6 species
UGCCGGUCCCCUCGCAACGAUAAAUCGCGCAACCCGCCAGGCCCGGAAGGGAGCAACGGACGCGGUGGACUUGUGUGCCGAGGUGCGGCUGGCGGGA